rnacentral:rRNA from 1 species
GAACCAGGCGCCCGCCGGAGGGACCAACCAAACUCUUUUCUGUAGUCCCCUCGCGGACGUUAUUUCUUACAGCUCUGAGCAAAAAUUCAAAAUGAAUCAAAACUUUCAACAACGGAUCUCUUGGUUCUGGCAUCGAUGAAGAACGCAGCGAAAUGCGAUAAGUAAUGUGAAUUGCAGAAUUCAGUGAAUCAUCGAAUCUUUGAACGCACAUUGCGCCCGCCAGUAUUCUGGCGGGCAUGCCUGUCCGAGCGUCAUUUCAACCCUCGAACCCCUCCGGGGGGUCGGCGUUGGGGAUCGGGAACCCCUAAGACGGGAUCCCGGCCCCGAAAUACAGUGGCGGUCUCGCCGCAGCCUCUCCUGCGCAGUAGUUUGCACAACUCGCACCGGGAGCGCGGCGCGUCCACGUCCGUAAAACACCCAACUUCUGAAAUGUUGACCUCGGAUCAGGUAGGAAUACCCGCUGAACUUAAGCAUAUCAAUAAGCGGAGG